CCUACGUGUGGCAGCAGUGAGGAAUAUUGGUCAAUGGGCGGAAGCCUGAACCAGCCAAGUAGCGUGCAGGAUGACGGCCCUAUGGGUUGUAAACCGCUUUUAUACGGGAACAACGCGCCCCACGCGUAGCGUUUCGCAUGUACCGUAAGAAUAAGGACCGGCUAAUUCCGUUCCAGCAGCCGCGGUAAUACGGAAGGUCCGGGCGUUAACCGGCUUUAUUGGGUUUAAAGGGAGCGUAGGCCGGAAGUCAAGCGUGCUGUGAAAUGUCAGGGCUCAACCCGGUCCGGGCAGCGGGAACUGGCGUGCUUGAGUCAGCGGGAAGCAGGCGGAAUGCGUGGUGUAGCGGUGAAAUGCAUAGAUAUCACGAAGAACUCCGAUUGCGAAGGCAGCAUACCGGCUCCAUACUGACGCUGAGGCACGAAAGCGUGGGGAUCGAACAGGAUUAGAUACCCGAGUAGUC
rnacentral:rRNA from 1 species